GAAAUGCGAUAUGCAGUGUGAAUUGCAGAAUUCAGUGAAUCAUCGAAUCUUUGAACGCACCUUGCGCUCCUUGGUAUUCCUUGGAGCAUGCCUGUUUGAGUAUCAUGAAAUCUUCAAAGUAAACCUUUUGUUAAUUCAAUUGGUUCCUUACUUUGGUAUUGGAGGUCUUUGCAGUUUCACAACUGCUCCUCUUUGUUCAUUAGCUGGAUCUCAGUGUUAUGCUUGGUUCCACUCGGCGUGAUAAGUAUCUAUCGCUGAGGACACUUGUAAAAAGGUGGCCAAGGUAAACGCAGAUGAACCGCUUCUAACAGUCCAUUGACUUGGACAAUAAAUAUUUAUGAUCUGAUCUCAAAUCAGGUAGGACUACCCGCUGAACUUAA
rnacentral:misc_RNA from 1 species